GAUGAACGCUGGCGGCGUGCCUAAUACAUGCAAGUCGAGCGAACAGAUAAGGAGCUUGCUCCUUUGAAGUUAGCGGCGGACGGGUGAGUAGCACGUGGGUAACCUACCUAUAAGACUGGGAUAACUUCGGGAAACCGGAGCUAAUACCGGAUAACAUUUAGAACCGCAUGGUUCUAAAGUGAAAGAUGGUUUUGCUAUCACUUAUAGAUGGACCCGCGCCGUAUUAGCUAGUUGGUAAGGUAACGGCUUACCAAGGCGACGAUACGUAGCCGACCUGAGAGGGUGAUCGGCCACACUGGAACUGAGACACGGUCCAGACUCCUACGGGAGGCAGCAGUAGGGAAUCUUCCGCAAUGGGCGAAAGCCUGACGGAGCAACGCCGCGUGAGUGAUGAAGGGUUUCGGCUCGUAAAACUCUGUUAUUAGGGAAGAACAAAUGUGUAAGUAACUGUGCACAUCUUGACGGUACCUAAUCAGAAAGCCACGGCUAACUACGUG
rnacentral:rRNA from 1 species